rnacentral:piRNA from 2 species
CAGUGGUAGAAUUCUCGCCUGCC